rnacentral:rRNA from 1 species
CCCUUAGAUGUUCUGGGCUGCACGCGCGCUACACUGAUGCACUCAACGAGUUUACAACCUUAUCCGGAAGGAUUGGGUAAUCUUUUGAACGUGCAUCGUGAUGGGGAUAGAUUAUUGCAAUUAUUAAUCUUCAACGAGGAAUUCCUAGUAAACGCAAGUCAUCAGCUUGCAUUGAUUACGUCCCUGCCCUUUGUACACACCGCCCGUCGCACCUACCGAUUGAAUGGUCCGGUGAAAUCUCGGGACGGCGGCUUGGUCGCUUGCGUCCGACUGCUGAAACUUGAUUAAACCAUAUCAUUUAGAGGAAGGUGAAGUCGUAACA